UAUCAAUAAGCGGAGGAAAAGAAACCAACAGGGAUUGCCCUAGUAACGGCGAGUGAAGCGGCAACAGCUCAAAUUUGAAAUCUGGCGCAAGCCCGAGUUGUAAUUUGCAGAGGAUGCUUCAGGGCAGCGGCCGGUCUAAGUUCCUUGGAACAGGACGUCGUAGAGGGUGAGAAUCCCGUAUGCGACCGGUUGGCACCCGUCACGUAGCUCCUUCGACGAGUCGAGUUGUUUGGGAAUGCAGCUCUAAAUGGGAGGUAAAUUUCUUCUAAAGCUAAAUACCGGCCAGAGACCGAUAGCGCACAAGUAGAGUGAUCGAAAGAUGAAAAGCACUUUGGAAAGAGAGUUAAAAAGCACGUGAAAUUGUUGAAAGGGAAGCGCAUGCCACCAGACUUGUCGGCGGUGUUCCGCCGGUCUUCUGACCGGUCCACUCGCCGCCGGCAGGCCAGCAUCAUCUGGGCGCGCCGGACAAAGGCGUGGGGAAUGUAGCUCCUCGGAGUGUUAUAGCCCCGCGCACAAUACGGCGCCGCCCGGGUGAGGUCCGCGCUUCGGCUAGGAUGCUGGCGUAAUGGUGGCCUGCGGCCCGUCUUGAAACACGGACCAAGGAGUCUAACAUCUAUGCGAGUGUUUGGGUGUCAAACCCCGGCGCGGAAUGAAAGUGAACGGAGGUGGGAAGCGCAAGCUGCACCAUCGACCGAUCCUGAUGUCUUCGGAUGGAUUUGAGUAAGAGCAUAGCUGUUGGGACCCGAAAGAUGGUGAACUAUGCCUGAAUAGGGUGAAGCCAGAGGAAACUCUGGUGGAGGCUCGCAGCGGUUCUGACGUGCAAAUCGAUCGUCAAAUUUGGGUAUAGGGGCGAAAGACUAAUCGAACCAUCUAGUAGCUGGUUCC
rnacentral:rRNA from 1 species